GAUGAACGCUGGCGGCGUGCCUAAUACAUGCCAGUCGAGCGAACAGAUGAGGAGCUUGCUCCUCUGACGUUAGCGGCGGACGGGUGAGUAACACGUGGAUAACCUACCUAUAAGACUGGGAUAACUUCGGGAAACCGGAGCUAAUACCGGAUAAUAUAUUGAACCGCAUGGUUCAAUAGUGAAUGACGGUUUUGCUGUCACUUAUAGAUGGAUCCGCGCCGCAUUAGCUAGUUGGUAAGGUAACGGCUUACCAAGGCAACGAUGCGUAGCCGACCUGAGAGGGUGAUCAGCCACACUGGAACUGAGACACGGUCCAGACUCCUACGGGAGGCAGCAGUAGGGAAUCUUCCGCAAUGGGCGAAAGCCUGACGGAGCAACGCCGCGUGAGUGAUGAAGGUCUUCGGAUCGUAAAACUCUGUUAUUAGGGAAGAACAAAUGUGGAAGUAACUAUGCACGUCUUGACGGUACCUAAUCAGAAAGCCACGGCUAACUACGUG
rnacentral:rRNA from 1 species